rnacentral:rRNA from 1 species
CGAAGCAACGCGAAAAACCUUACCAGGUCUUGACAUCCUCUGAAAACCCUAGAGAUAGGGCUUCUCCUUCGGGAGCAGAGUGACAGGUGGUGCAUGGUUGUCGUCAGCUCGUGUCGUGAGAUGUUGGGUUAAGUCCCGCAACGAGCGCAACCCUUGAUCUUAGUUGCCAUCAUUAAGUUGGGCACUCUAAGGUGACUGCCGGUGACAAACCGGAGGAAGGUGGGGAUGACGUCAAAUCAUCAUGCCCCUUAUGACCUGGGCUACACACGUGCUACAAUGGACGGUACAAAGAGCUGCAAGACCGCGAGGUGGAGCUAAUCUCAUAAAACCGUUCUCAGUUCGGAUUGUAGGCUGCAACUCGCCUACAUGAAGCUGGAAUCGCUAGUAAUCGCGGAUCAGCAUGCCGCGGUGAAUACGUUCCCGGGCCUUGUACACACCGCCCGUCACACCACGAGAGUUUGUAACACCCGAAGUCGGUGGGGUAACCUUUUUGGAGCCAGCCGCCUAAGGUGGGACAGAUGAUUGGGGUGAAGUCUAAAAAGGGGAACCAAA